GGUCAUUCUAUGCCUGUUAUGUUGUGCACUAGUUGAAAUUAGCUAACUGAGAUGGAAUGCAUUCAAAUAACAACAAACCAUGAAAACUACAGAACUAAUGAAUGGAUUAGAUCUGGUUUUGUUUGGACUAGUUCAUGAUGUAUAAUUGUAAUGAAUGCUCUACUGCUAUUGAAUGCUAUGUAAUGUCUUAUUUGAAUGGCCUAUGGGAUUUAUGCAGUGACACUAAUAUGAUGACUUGUUGCUUGGUAUGUGAUGAAUGCUUGAUCAUUAUACCCGAGCUACGGGUAGCUUGCAAGUGAAUGACUUUUGAAAGCAAGGAAAUGUCAAUGUUUGUUGCUAUUACCGACGGUGAUGACCCGGUAUGCCAAUGUACUCCAUGUUGGCUUAUGUGUUUCUUGUUAUGGCCAUGAAUGUAUCCCUUUGGUUGCCACUCCCUGUAGACAAGUUUUCUUUUCCAUUUUCUUUGGUCUUGGAAAAAGAGAAUCUUAAUGGGACCCUGUUUGCAUGAAUUGAUUUGCUCAUCUGCCAUACUGUCUUGUUGCUGAUAAAUGCAGAGUUGCAGCAUCUGCUUGGUUGGCUUCAGUUCUAACAUAUGUUUGCAUUGGUGUCAUGGUGUAAACCUCUAUAUUUUGAGCUCAUGUAUAAUGGAAUAUUUUGGAGUUAACUUAGAGUGCACUUAGGGUAUUUCAUUGUUGUAGAUCUUUUGUCAUGGUUAUAAAUUUUAUGAAUGUAGAUAGAUUUGAAAUAGAAAGCAUUUUGAGCAUCUUGUUAGGAAUGUUGGAUUGGGAAUUUGGUUUGCAAUCGUAUAGAAAUGUACAUCGUUAGUUCAUUAAAUUGUAAAUUAAAUUGGUCAGGAAUUGUUCAUAGAAUGGUUUAUGGUUUAAAGAUUUUGGUUGUCA